GUACCCGUAGUUCAGUCGGAUAGAACAUCUGGUUGCGGACCAGAAGGUCGGGGGUUCGAGUCCCUCCGGGUACGCCA
rnacentral:tRNA from 1 species